rnacentral:tRNA from 1 species
GGCUGUGGCUCAGUGGUAAAGUGCAAGCCUAACACGCAUAAGGCACUGGGUUUGAUCCUCAGCACCA